CAGUAGCCACGGUAAUACGUAGGUCCCGAGCGUUGUCCGGAUUUAUUGGGCGUAAAGCGAGCGCAGGCGGUUAGAUAAGUCUGAAGUUAAAGGCUGUGGCUUAACCAUAGUAUGCUUUGGAAACUGUUUAACUUGAGUGCAGAAGGGGAGAGUGGAAUUCCAUGUGUAGCGGUGAAAUGCGUAGAUAUAUGGAGGAACACCGGUGGCGAAAGCGGCUCUCUGGUCUGUAACUGACGCUGAGGCUCGAAAGCGUGGGGAGCAAACAGGAUUAGAUACCCCCGUAGUCCCUGUCUCUUAUACA
rnacentral:rRNA from 1 species